AGUUUGAUCCUGGCUCAGGAUGAACGCUAGCGGCAGGCUUAACACAUGCAAGUCGAGGGGUAGAGGCUUUCGGGCCUUGAGACCGGCGCACGGGUGCGUAACGCGUAUGCAAUCUGCCUUUCACAGAGGGAUAGCCCAGAGAAAUUUGGAUUAAUACCUCAUAGCAUAAUCAAGCCGCAUGGUUUGAUUAUUAAAGUCACAACGGUGAAAGAUGAGCAUGCGUCCCAUUAGCUAGUUGGUAAGGUAACGGCUUACCAAGGCGACGAUGGGUAGGGGUCCUGAGAGGGAGAUCCCCCACACUGGUACUGAGACACGGACCAGACUCCUACGGGAGGCAGCAGUGAGGAAUAUUGGUCAAUGGACGCAAGUCUGAACCAGCCAUGCCGCGUGCAGGAUGACGGUCCUAUGGAUUGUAAACUGCUUUUGCACAGGAAGAAACACUCCGACGUGUCGGAGCUUGACGGUACUGUGAGAAUAAGGA
rnacentral:rRNA from 1 species